AAGAGGAGGGAUCAUUUCUAUAGCAUGUUACUGGCGAAGCUUCUCUGAUAGUGGAGAGUACUGGACACCGCGAGGAGGAGGCACAGGGCUCCUUCCUGAGCGCGGAGCUGGCUCCUGGUACUGCUUCGCUGCAGCUGCCACCUGCCACUCAUGAUCGUUCUUGCUUUCUCCUUAGGGGGAGCAAGAGAGGGGGAAUGCAGUCUGCGUGGC
rnacentral:snoRNA from 1 species